GUCUAUAACCAUGCUACACUGAACAAGCCCGAUCCCAUCUGAUCUUGGAAGCUAAGCAGGGUCAGGCCUGGUUAGUACUUGGAUGGGAGACCACCUAGGAAGACCAGGUGCUGUAGGUG
rnacentral:rRNA from 1 species